UGUUUAGCAAUAGCUAGUUGCACUAUAAAUUCUUAGUGUAAAAUCGACUAUGUCGAAUAAAAUUCUGGGUAGAUUUUUGAUAAUGACAUUAUCUAUCCAUAAGUCUUGACCAAAUUACGUGCCAGCAGUCGCGGCAAUACGUAGAAGACAAGUGUUAUUCAUCUUUAAUAGGUUUAAAGGGUACCUAGCGGAAAAUCAAGCCUAAAAAAGGGACUAGUUUUCUAGAGUUUUAUGUGAAGAAGUAUUAAAGUACUAUUGGUGGAGAGAUGAAAUUCAAUUAUACCUUGAUGGCACAGGUUAAGGCAAAAGCAUCUUCUUAUGUAAAAACUGACGUUGAAGGACGAAGGCUUUGUGUAUCGAACAGGAUUAGAUACCCUAGUAGUCUAAGCAGACAAUGAUGAAUGUCAUAGAUUAGAUGUAAUUUGAUCUAUAAAUGAAAGUGUAAGCAUUCCACCUCAAGAGUAAUUUGGCAACAUUGGAACUGAAAUCAUUAGACCGUUUCUGAAACCAGUAGUGAAGUAUGUUGUUUAAUUUGAUAAUCCGCAAAAAACCUUACCACCAUAUUUGAAUAGAUAUAUUUUAUCAUACAAGCGUUGCACGGCUGUCUUCAGUUAAUGUCGUGAGACUAUGGUUAGUUCCAUAAAAUUAACGUAAACCCUUACUUUAUUUUAAAAUAAAGUAGUUCACCGCUAGAUU
rnacentral:rRNA from 1 species